UCUACACAACGGUGAAUUUCAAUGAAAUUCGUGUGUAUUAAAAAUGUAUUUCAAACAAUGAACAAGAACAUUAAUUUUCACGAUCACACUGAGGCUUCAGAUGAGAGCCUUUUUCUUGUAGUCUUUUCCAAAUGUGACUCUGAGCAAAUGAAGAAAAAGCUCUUGACAACGAAACGGCACUACAGUGUUCUGAAUAGCUGACAACAAGGAAACAAAUCACAGACCUGCGUCACAGGGAUGCACCUUUUACCAAAGCAGGGUUCCCGAAACAUGGAGAGCCCCCCGGAGGACCAGUGAUAGGCUGCAUAGGAUGAGAUUCAAGUGUGUUUGGUUCUCACCCGCUUUCUGCGAGAUGAAAGCAGAAAAGACCACCGUGGGAGAAAAGAAAACCCAAUCUGCUUGACUGCCGUGCUAAUCUACGCGUUCCCCUGCUCUCUUGGUCAGCUUUUGCAGCGCCUGCUGCUCUGCGGCACUGCUGACCUGGUCAUGAUGGUUAAUGCUGCUAAAAAAUCUCAUCACUGCUUUUGAUCGCUGCAUUGUCUUCUUGGCGUUAUCAGUGAAGCGCCGGCUGAAAUGACCUACUAAAGUUCCAGCCUGUUGGACUCUUCCCCGAGGCUUUUUGUUUGUUUGCUUACUUGCGUUGUUUCUUCUUCAAAACAAGAUAUAGGCAAAACAUAAAGAUGCGUGAGCAGUUGACGUGUGGGGUCAACCCCGAAUCAUGUGCAGGAAAGAAUACAAAACAUAACAUAUAAAUGCAAGGCAUGGGUGAUCUUAUAGUGUCCAUUUUAUCCACAUAUUCUCCCCAGAGUAUUCUCAAAGACAACCUCACAUUUGGGCACACCCUGUUCUCUUCAGAGAUGAAUUCUCAAGCUUUAGUUAUAACAAGAAAAAAAGGAAGCCAUGAACAAUUCACCUGCUCCCCAUCUUCAGAUAACCAAAGAAGCUCAGUGGACACAUGGAUCUGAAAGAGGGUGUGGCUUGCCUCUUGGUCCUUUCACUCCACCCACAUCAUCUAACCUCCUCUCUCACUCAAAUUAAUUUUUCAAGAAGUGAAAAACAACAGAACUCUCCUGAAAAUGGGCAAUCUUUGUUAAUCACUUGAGGAUCUUCUAACACUUGCCAAAGAUUAAUUGUUAAUAUCAAGAAAAUAAAGUACCAAUCAAUUAAGAAA